GAAGGGCCCCAGUGCCUCCCCGGAGAGUCCCCUGGUGAGGGAGCGGCCAGGCAGCCCAGCCCUGCUUCUCUUGGGGGCCCCCUCUGAGCCCUCCUCGGGGUCUCUGAUGCCACGGAGACCUGAAAAUCAAACGCACGGAUACGCAAGACUGGCAAGUUUCACUGGACCCCGGGGCCCUGCUCCAGGCUGGGGUGCUCAGAGCCCCUGCUUUCCCCACGGAAGCCCCUCCUCCAUCUUGCCCCAGAGGCUGGGCAGCAGUGCCCGUCUCAGCGUGGCGGCCGCACGCUCCGCACAUCUCAGAGGAAAGUGCGUGAGGAACGGCCACGGGAAGGGAGGGAGAGCUGUCAGCUUUCGUGGGGAGAAGCCACGAGGCCCCGAAUGAUAGGGUGCAUCUCUCACUGGCCGUAAACGCUGGAGAAGAAUCAAGGAGCCGUGGUGUGUUCUGUGUUGCCUCCAGCACAACCAGAGCUGCCUGGUGCCGGGGACUGGACGCCUGGGCUUGGGCACUGGGCACCCACUGGGCAGCUUGGCUCCAUCCUUGCUGUCACUGCAGACCUAACCUGCCUGGGAUGGGUUUUUUUUCCUUUUCUUUUUCCCAGCUGGACCAGUCCCCAGAAGGGAUGAUAUGGAGGUCCUCCAGUAAUCCCUCCUGUCUGGCCGUAAGGAUGUAUCCCUGUCGGCAGCAAGGGGACAAGAUAAUAAAGAGGGAAAGUAAAUUUAGAGAAAGUUCCUAUGCCUAUUCCAGGAGCUGGGCUGGGCUUCCUCCUCCUGGUGGGGGGUGGGCAGGGGUGGGCCCGUGGUGCGAGACGCAGGGGUCCUACCACCCAGUGGAGGUGGUCACUCUGCUGGCGCAGGGCUGGGCACCCACACCCCGCCCAGGAGCCCCACAGCACGAGGGCAGCGGAGACGCCUGCCCUGGGGAGGGACACGUGAGAAGUCCCUGGAGCCGGGGAGGUGUGGGCAGGGCAGGGCCGCGUGCACGGUUCUGGGAGAGGCGGGUUGGGGGUCUUUGGGGGGCCUAGGAGAGGCGUGCCGCAGGGGAAGGCGUGCCGCAGGGGAAGGCGUGCGCAGGGGCACAGAGCGUGGGGGUGGCUGGCACGUGGAGGGACGGCACUGAGGUUGCGGGGUGGGGUGCACAGGGCACGGGCCACAGAGGAAAGGAGGAGCCUGGGGGAGGUGGGCUGGGGUCUGGCCGCCUGGUGGGGGGCGUGGCCCCGAGAUGCCUCCGCUGGGGGGAGGUAGGCCGGCGUGAGUGUAGGCAGACCGCACA
rnacentral:lncRNA from 1 species